ensembl:lncRNA
CUAGGCUGCCUGCUGAUCAGGAUGUCAGUUUUCACCAGAAUGUUUUAAGCUAUUUUUAGUAAGAGCUGGCUUAUUCAUUAUCUGACUUUCACCUAUAGAGCAUUUCCAGUGUCUGGCUAAAGUCACCCAGGAGGCUUCAGAUACAGUUUUAUUUAGCCUGUGUAUCCGUUUAGCACUUCCGUGUAGUUCUCAGCUUUGUCCUUUCCUUUUGGAUCAAAGAGAAAAGAAGCGCAGUAAGUGAAAUGAUGGUUCACCUGGGAAAUCCGGGCCCCACUGGCCAACACGCCAUUACAGAAACAGCAGGUCAGGCCACAUAGACAUCCCAGAUUUCCUUUCCAUCCAUGUGGUUUCCUUGACCCACUGUUUAUAGAAAAGUGGCACUGCUUAUCAAUGAUAGGCAGAUCAUCAAUAUAUAUUUGAGAAAGAAUGUGAAGUUCAUGAAUUUGAGUUCAUUUAACUGUUUUCCAAGUAACUAAAAUGCCCUUUCUUCUGGCAGAUAGUUAGAUUUGCACUUGGUAGAUGAAAAGCCCUGUUCUUCCAAUGGCAUCCUGUCACCUGUUAUUGAAAUGGAGCAGGACCCUGUGGUCCUUGCCCCUCAGGUCUGCAGCCGGCUUCUUGUUGGCAGAAAAACUUUAGCCAAAGAAUAAGUUUAAUCAGAGAUGUGAGAACAUGCAGAGACCAAGGCAAACAGUACAACAAGGCUAAAUAGGAAUGGUUUAGUCAUUAAACUUAGUCAAGGACCUUUAGUUCCUCCUCAAAGGCUAUAGAUGACAUUCCGAGCCCUAUCCUGUGAGCUGUCUUAUAGAGUCAGAAACCCCCACCAGGUGGAGGAAAUUAACAACGUGAUGACCAGAAGGACAUAAACCGCACAGUUCUAAGAAUUGGCCUCAAGGAAAUGGGAACAACCUGGCCCUAGACCUGAAGAUUAACUGUACUUCAAACAGCCAAGACAAUGCCGAUCAGAUUAGCACGUGGCCAGGCGCAAGGAUCCUCCCUGUUUCUCCCCCUGCUCAGCCCUGGCUGCCAACUAAUACUUUUCCCUGGUGGGAUGGAAAGGUACUUCUGGAAGCUCCAAGACCAAGUAAGUCCACGGGUAUGUACCCAGUUAACUUCUCUUCUGAGCACUGAGGGUCAUCUGGACAUUUUGCUAAUUGACUCUGACCUGUGUCUGACUUUGAGUCCUGUAAAAGGUCUCUCCUGUAUUUGUACUUGCUUAUAUCAGGCUUCCCUGAUGCUCAGUUGGUAAAGAAUCUGCCUGAAAUGCAGGAGACCCUGGUUGGAUCCCUGGGUUGGGAAGAUCUGCUGGAGAAGGGAUAGGCUACCCACUCCAGUAUUCUUGGGCUUCCCUUGUGGCUCAGCUGGUAAAGAAUCCUCCUGCAAUGCGGGAGACCUGGAUUGGAUCCCUGGGUUGGGAAGAUCCCCUGGAGAAGGGAAAGGCUACCCACUCCAGUGGGGUCCCAAAGAGUCCAACAUGACUGAGCGACUUUCACUUUCUGUAUGUGAAGUAUGUUUGAUUAGUUUCUUCCAAUGUGGCCUGUGUGUGUGCUAAGUUGCUUCCGUCACCUGUGAUUCUUUGCAACCCUGCAAACUGUAGCCCGCCAGGGUCCUCUGUCCUGGGAUUCUCCAGGCAUGAAUACUGGAGUGGCUUGUCAUGUCCUCCUCCAGGGGAUCUUCCUGAACCAGGG